GACGAACGCUGGCGGCGUGCCUAACACAUGCAAGUCGAACGGAGUAAGGAGAGCUUGCUUUCCUUGCUUAGUGGCGAACGGGUGAGUAACGCGUGAGGAACCUGCCUUUCAGUGGGGGACAACAGUUGGAAACGACUGCUAAUACCGCAUAAUGUUAUCGGAUGGCAUCAUCUGGUAACCAAAGCUUUAUGUGCUGAAAGAUGGCCUCGCGUCUGAUUAGAUAGUUGGUGGGGUAACGGCCUACCAAGUCGACGAUCAGUAGCCGGUCUGAGAGGAUGAACGGCCACAUUGGGACUGAGAUACGGCCCAG
rnacentral:rRNA from 1 species